rnacentral:precursor_RNA from 10 species
UAACAUCGCAUUGUUUUACAUGUAGUGAAAUGAAACUUCUUUAGAAAGGGCCUGCUUUAGGCUCAUUCUAGGACGUUUUAAAUUACCAUGUGGACUACCACCCCUGCUUUCA